rnacentral:rRNA from 1 species
UACGGGGGGGGCAAGCGUUGUUCGGAAUUAUUGGGCGUAAAGAGCUCGUAGGCGGACUGUCACGUCUGCUGUGAAAAGCUGGGGCUUAACCCUGGCCUUGCAGUGGAUACGGGCAGACUAGAGGUAGGUAGGGGAGAAUGGAAUUCCCGGUGUAGCGGUGAAAUGCGCAGAUAUCGGGAGGAACACCGGUGGCGAAGGCGGGUCUCUGGACAGUUCCUGACGCUGAGGCACGAAGGCCAGGGGAGCAAACGGG